AUUGAACGCUGGCGGCAUGCCUUACACAUGCAAGUCGAACGGUAACAGGUCUUCGGAUGCUGACGAGUGGCGAACGGGUGAGUAAUACAUCGGAACGUGCCUAUUAGUGGGGGAUAACUACUCGAAAGGGUGGCUAAUACCGUCUGAGAUCUACUGAUGAAAGCAGGGGAUCGCAAGACCUUGUGCUACUGGGGCGUCCGCGGGCAGAUUAGGUAGUUGGUGGGAUAAAAGCUUACCAAGCCGACGAUCUGUAGCUGGUCUGAGAGGACGAUCAGCCACACUGGGACUGAGACACGGCCCAGACUCCUGCGGGAGGCAGCAGUGGGGAAUUUUGGACAAUGGGCGAAAGCCUGAUCCAGCAAUGCCGCGUGCAGGAUGAAGGCCUUCGGGUUGUAAACUGCUUUUGUACGGAACGAAAAGCCCUGGGUUAAUACCCUGGGGUCAUGACGGUACCGUAAGAAUAAGCACCGGCUAACUACGUGCCAGCCGCCGCCGUAA
rnacentral:rRNA from 1 species